UACGAAGGGGGCUAGCGUUGCUCGGAAUUACUGGGCGUAAAGCGCACGUAGGCGGCUUUCUAAGUCGGGGGUGAAAUCCUGGAGCUCAACUCCAGAACUGCCUCGAUACUGGAAAGCUCGAGUCCGGGAGAGGUGAGUGGAACUGCGAGUGUAGAGGUGAAAUUCGUAGAUAUUCGGAAGAACACCUGUGGCGAAAGCGGCGCACUGGACCAUAACUGACGCUGAUGCGCGAAAGCUAGGGGAGCAACAGG
rnacentral:rRNA from 1 species